AUCUUCCACAAUGGACGAAAGUCUGAUGGAGCAACGCCGCGUGAGUGAAGAAGGGUUUCGGCUCGUAAAACUCUGUUGUUAAAGAAGAACAUAUCUGAGAGUAACUGUUCAGGUAUUGACGGUAUUUAACCAGAAAGCCACGGCUAACUACGUGCCAGCAGCCGCGGUAAUACGUAGGUGGCAAGCGUUGUCCGGAUUUAUUGGGCGUAAAGCGAGCGCAGGCGGUUUUUUAAGUCUGAUGUGAAAGCCUUCGGCUCAACCGAAGAAGUGCAUCGGAAACUGGGAAACUUGAGUGCAGAAGAGGACAGUGGAACUCCAUGUGUAGCGGUGAAAUGCGUAGAUAUAUGGAAGAACACCAGUGGCGAAGGCGGCUGUCUGGUCUGUAACUGACGCUGAGGCUCGAAAGUAUGGGUAGCAAACAGGAUUAGAUACCCUGGUAGUCCAUACCGUAAACGAUGAAUGCUAAGUGUUGGAGGGUUUCCGCCCUUCAGUGCUGCAGCUAACGCAUUAAGCAUUCCGCCUGGGGAGUACGGCCGCAAGGCUGAAACUCAAAGGAAUUGACGGGGGCCCGCACAAGCGGUGGAGCAUGUGGUUUAAUUCGAAGCUACGCGAAGAACCUUACCAGGUCUUGACAUACUAUGCAAAUCUAAGAGAUUAGACGUUCCCUUCGGGGACAUGGAUACAGGUGGUGCAUGGUUGUCGUCAGCUCGUGUCGUGAGAUGUUGGGGUUAAGUCCCGCAACGAGCGCAACCCUUAUUAUCAGUUGCCAGCAUUAAGUUGGGCACUCUGGUGAGACUGCCGGUGAC
rnacentral:rRNA from 2 species